rnacentral:rRNA from 1 species
UACGAAGGAUCCAAGCGUUGUCCGGAAUUACUGGGCGUAAAGGGCGCGUAGGCGGCCUUCUAAGUCGAACGUGAAAUCCCCGGGCUCAACCCGGGAACUGCGUCCGAUACUGGAAGGCUUGAAUCCGGGAGAGGGAUGCGGAAUUCCAGGUGUAGCGGUGAAAUGCGUAGAUAUCUGGAGGAACACCGGUGGCGAAGGCGGCAUCCUGGACCGGCAUUGACGCUGAGGCGCGAAAGCCAGGGGAGCAAACGGG